GCCCGCCCCCACUCCCACUCCCACCGGCUCGGUUACACUGUCAUAAAAAGACCGGGAAAGGGGGGCGGUGUCACACACGGCCUCCAAAUGUGGACAUGUUGCCCUGCUCGUUCUCUACGGGCUCUUUUCAAACGCUUCCAUCUUCUCAUAAGUGCUUCUUGGAUCGCCAUAUCGACUUCAUAUCACGCAUGGCGCCACCUAUACUAAAAGUGUCCACUAGAGGGCAGAGGGCGACAAAACGGCUUCACUUCGACUUCCGGUUCGAACGUCAAUAAUCACUGCUAUAUCGAAUAUCGCUCCCUCAAGAUAUCCGCUUUUCAAAGAAUUAUUAUUUUAUAACUGUUAAUUAUUUCGUGGCUGAUUAUGUCAUAAAUUCAUAAAGUCAAAAAUAUUGAAAGCCAAGUUAUAUUUAGUACUGUGGUUACUAGGCAUCAGCAAUGCUACAUUAUAUUUCUACCUUUCUGCAUGGAGACUAUUGAGCUGGUGAAAUCGAGUGAAAAAAAGGUUCUCCUCUCGUCCUGUCUGGGGAGUCAAAGGCCUGCUGAGUCACAAAGGUUCGCUUCAGCCUGAGGGAAAGAGCAUCCGCCAAACGUCGAUGCGAGCGCACCCGUCAAAGAUAAGAUUGUUUUUCUGAGUGAAUUUGCAAUGAUUUGAUGCGUGUGCGUGCAUGUGUGUUGUGUGUGUGUGUGUGCGCGCGUGCAGCAGGUGCGGCCUCAGCCUCGCCAGCUCCCGACCCCACCCACCUGUCCGGGGAAUUGCCCAGCUGCCGUCGCUUAGCAACGCCUCGUCCGUCUCCACGCCGACUCGCACGGAUGUUGUUGUUGCUGACGCUGAAGAAGAACACAAUUGUUGCAUUUUUUUUUUUUUACAGCUUUUAAAUGCUGCGUUCGGGGCUUCAUUUUGGGUGUCGAUGGGAUCCUGCUUGGGGCACAGACCAGGACUAAAGUCUCAUUCGGAGUUUAAUUAGUAAAAAAAAAAAAAGUAUAAGAAUGUUUUAUAGUGGAUGGAAAGAAAAAUAAUAAAGGACGUUAUUGUCUUUUAUGACAGACCAAACUCAAUUAAAAAAAUAAGUUAAUAUGAGGGUUCAAUUCCACCCUCGGCCAUCUCUGUGUGGAGUUUGCAUGUUCUCUCCGUGCAUGCGUGGGAUUUCUCCGGGUACUCCGGUUUCCUCCCACAUUCCAAAAACAUGCUAGGUUAAUUAGCCACUCCAAAUUGUCCAUAGGUAUGAAUGUGAGUGUGAAUGGUUGUUUGUCUAUAUGUGCCCUGUGUUUGGCUGGCUGGCCACCAGUCCAGGGUGUACCCCGCCUCUCGCCCCAAGACAGCUGGGAUAGGCUCCAGCACCCCCCGCGCUCCUCGUGGGGAAAAGCGGUAGAAAAUGAAUGAAAGAAUCUAAUAGAGAAAAACACUUUUAAUUAAAUUCUGAUCCAGAUUUCAUUGUAAUGAUAAAAAAUGGCAUCAUAAUUUUAGGAAGUGUUUUUCCAAGUCCUCGUCUUGUGAUGUUGGGUUGUCAUCAUGGCGCCCGGUUGACGAGGGCGAAGGGAAGCGACGGCGCUCGUGUGUUUGAUAUGAUAUGAUGUUUGUGUCUUUGUGUGUGUGCGGACAGAGUGACUGAUCACAUUACCAUGAGGACGAGCUACUCUGUCAGGAGGAGGACAGAGUCUGGGCCGGGCCGAGGGACACUGGAGGCGUCCAAUGACAGCAAGCCGGCUCAGAGGUGGGGGGGGGGGGCAGAGGUGAUUGGACGUGAAGGAUCCUGACUUGAAUAUGAAAGACGUCACAGAGACCACGUUUGCAGAACACAUGAAUUCACUCUCGAUGAAGAAGUUGUACCUUAAAGACAAAAAGGAUCUUGACAAUUGUUACCAGCCUGUACAGUGUACAACAUCACCCUCUGCUGGACGAAGUAUACAAGUACAACAGUCCACUGGCGAACCAAUAACCAACAUUUUUUAAGUAAUCUGGACACAAAAAUAUUAUGAGCCACCAACGAAACAUGCAACAUCCAGAGUGAGCACAUUGAAGACUGUGUACUGCCCUCGUGUGGAAGCCCCGGCGCGGCCCUAGGAGUGAAUCUGGGCGGUGCUGGCCAGCAGCUUGUGCCAGCUGACCACACGCUUGCGAAGGUCCACCUUGUCCAGCCACACGUACGCCUCGCCGAUCAGCGUCUUCUUCAUGAACUUGCCGCCGUUGGACACCAGGAAGAGCUACAAGGGAAAAAAAGGAAGGUUAGAAAAAGUAGAAGACCACCUUGUUGAACGUCGGGGUAAGGGGCAGGGGGCGUCACCUGUAAGGAGUGCCCGGCGGGGUUCAUGCAGAAGCGGAAGGUCUCGUUGAAGGAUGGCUCGCGAUCGUGGCGACACACCCUGGUCUUCUUCUUGAUGAUCCUCUUCUGGGUGGCGAUGUUGACCACGUAGAGCUUCACGUACAGAUCUGACAAAGAAGAAGAAGAAAAAGAAGAACAAGAUGAACGAGAGCAACCUGAAGAAAAGGAAGAAGACCAAGAAGGAGGAGAACAAGAAGAAGAGGAUGAAGAACAAAAACAGCAAGAGGACCAAGAUGAAGAACAGAAGAACACAAAGAAGACAAAAAAUGUAGAAGAAUGAUGAAGGGCUGCAUGCGUGGUUAGUGCGCAGGCCUCACAGCUAGGAGACCCGGGUUCAAUUCCACCCUCGGCCCUCCUUGCUUUCCUCCAGGUACAAGUCCAAAAACAUGCUAGGUUAAUUAGCGACUCCAAAUUGUCCAUAGGUAUGAAUGUGAGUGUGAAUGGUUGUUUGUCUAUAUGUGCCCUGUGAUUGGCUGGCUGGCCACCAGUCCAGGGUGUAGACAGCUGGGAUAGGCUCCAGCAUGAGGAUAAGCGGUAGAAAAUGAAUGAAUGAUGAAAUAAUUCCAACUGUGAGCAUGUGUAGUACAAUAGAGUAGUGUCCUACAUGUACUGUACAUGUAUAGUAUACAGUACAUGUAGAGUAUGUGUAAGUAGGAGCACGUCUGAAAUACCAGGCAGGUGGUCUGCAGUCUUGAACUUGUAGGUGAUGUUACGACACUGAAGGAUCUCCAGGACCAGGUGGUCUCCCUCCGUCCUCACCUCCUUCUUCAGGGCAAUCUUGAUCUCACCCAUCACCUGGGACUUACCUGGACACACACACACAGGUAUACACACAUACACAGUACAUUAUAUUCAUCUCAUCUCCUAUCCCAUACGGUAGUACACAUACACUGUAUAUUAUAUUAUAUACAGUAGUAUACAUACAUACAGUAUAUUAUAUUAUAUUCAAGAAUCACAAUGACUUAUUCAGUCCAUGUAUUUAGCAGUAUUACAGUACCAGUACUGUAUGUCAUAACGUUAAAUCAUGCGUUUGGGUGAAUGAAUAUGUAUAUGUGAAUAUGAAUAAAGUAUGCAUAUGUGAAUAUGAAUACUAUAUGUAUUUAUGUGAAUCUGAAUAUAGUAUGUGUAUGUGAAUAUGAAUAUUCAUAUUCACGUACGCAUAUAGUAUAGUAUGCAUAUGUGAAUAUGAAUAUGGUAUGUGAAUAUGCAUACUAUAUGUAUACGUGAAUAUGAAUAUAGUAUGCGUAUGUGAAUAUGAAUAUGGUAUGCAUACAUGAAUAUGAAUAUAGUAUGUGAAUAUGGAUACUAUAUGUAUUUAUGUGAAUCUGAAUAUAGUAUGUGUAUGUGAAUAUGAAUAUUCAUAUUCACGUACGCAUAUAGUAUAGUAUGCAUAUGUGAAUAUGAAUAUGGUAUGUGAAUAUGCAUACUAUAUGUAUACGUGAAUAUGAAUAUAGUAUGCGUAUGUGAAUAUGAAUAUGGUAUGCAUACAUGAAUAUGAAUAUAGUAUGUGAAUAUGGAUACUAUAUGUAUACGUGAAUAUGAAUAUAGUAUGCGUAUGUGAAUAUGAAUACUAUAUGUAUACGUGAAUAUGAGUAUAGUAUGUGUAUGUGAAUAUGAAUAUAGUAUGCGUAUGUGAAUAUGAAUACUAUAUGUAUACGUGAAUAUGAAUAUAGUAUGUGUAUGUGAAUAUAGUAUG